AGUAUGUGUGCAUGUGUGCGGUAGGCGUGCAUCUGUGCAUGUGUACUGGUGGCGGUAGGCGUGCAUGUGUGCAUGUGGGAGUAGGUGUGCAUGUGUACGGUAGGUGUGCAUGUGUGCGGUAGCCGUGCAUCUGUGCAUGUGGGAGUAGGUGUGCAUGUGUGCGGUAGGCGUGCAUCUGUGCAUGUGUACUGGUGGCGGUAGGCGUGCAUGUGGGGGUAGGUGUGCAUGUAUACUUGUGGCGUUGUGCGUGCAUGUGUGCGGUAGGCGUGCAUCAGUGCAUGUGGGAGUAGGUGUGCAUGUGUGCUGGUGGAGGUAGGCGUGCAUUUGGUGGGGGGUUUGUGUGCUUGUGGCGGUACGUGUGCAUGUAUGCUAGAUGAUCAUGAGUGCAUGUGGGGUUAUGUGUGCGUUAGUGCUGGUGGCUGUGUGCCCUGCAUGUAGGGGUAGGUAUGCAUGUGUGCGUAGGUGUGCAUGUGUGCUGGUUGCAGUAGGUGUGCAUGUGGAGGUAUGUGUGCAUGAUGUUGCGGUAGGGUUAGGGUUAGGUGGCGGUGUGCGUGCAUUUGGGGGGUAGGUGUGCAUGUGUGCUGGUAGCGGUAUCUGUGGUACGAAUAUGCGCAGAUGUGUGGUAAGUGUGAUGCAUAUCAUAUGUGCACAUCCUAUGUAGUCACAUACCUUGUACAAUCCCUAGCUACGAGCACAUUUGAACUUAUCAAUGCCCUCCCAUAAGCACUUAACAUCUAUUUAGCAACCUACUUUUAGCAUGCACAGACUCGUAUAUUUAAUAUAUUUUGUAUUUAUUGGUAGUAUUAAAUAUGAUCUUUAUUUAUUUGUAACCAUGAAA